AACAAAAAAAAAAGACAAAUAUAGAAUUCCAGCUAGCACAUUAUGGACCAUGGUAAAAGCAGUAAAGAAAUUUCCACACAAUUUAGCUUAGACUUGCACGCACAAUGCUAAGGUAUCAAGAAUUUGACAAAACACAUAAUACAAAGGUAUCAAGAAUUUGACAAAACACACCAUGGGGGCGACUCAAGUCCGAUUCUAUAACAAUAUCUAACCUCAUCCUCCUACUUCUUGUUCACUUUCAAAU
rnacentral:lncRNA from 1 species